UACGUAGGGUGCAGGCGUUAAUCGGAAUUACUGGGCGUAAAGCGUGCGCAGGCGGUCUUUUAAGUCAGAUGUGAAAUCCCCGGGCUUAACCUGGGAACUGCGUUUGAUACUGGAUGGCUCGAGUUUGGGAGAGGGAUGCGGAAUUCCAGGUGUAGCGGUGAAAUGCGUAGAUAUCUGGAGGAACACCGGUGGCGAAGGCGGCAUCCUGGACCAACACUGACGCUGAUGAGCGAAAGCCAGGGGAGCAAACGGG
rnacentral:rRNA from 1 species